rnacentral:rRNA from 1 species
UACAGAGGGCGCGAGCGUUGUCCGGAAUCAUUGGGCGUAAAGCGCGUGUAGGCGGCCCGGUAAGUCCGCUGUAAAAGUCCAGGGCUCAACCCUGGAAGGCCGGUGGAUACUGUCGGGCUCGAGUCCGGAAGAGGCGAGUGGAAUUCCUGGUGUAGCGGUGAAAUGCGCAGAUAUCAGGAGGAACACCAAUGGCGAAGGCAGCUCGCUGGGACGGUACUGACGCUGAGACGCGAAAGCGUGGGGAGCAAACAGG